rnacentral:rRNA from 1 species
UACGGGGGGGGGCAAGCGUUGCUCGGAAUUACUGGGCGUAAAGGGCGCGUAGGCGGCCUGUUAAGUCGAACGUGAAAUCCCCGGGCUCAACCCGGGAACUGCGUCCGAUACUGGCAGGCUUGAAUCCGGGAGAGGGAUGCGGAAUUCCAGGUGUAGCGGUGAAAUGCGUAGAUAUCUGGAGGAACACCGGUGGCGAAGGCGGCAUCCUGGACCGGUAUUGACGCUGAGGCGCGAAAGCCAGGGGAGCAAAGCGGG